rnacentral:rRNA from 1 species
UUAAGUUAUUAAGGGCGCACGGUGGAUGCCUUGGCACUAGAAGCCGAUGAAGGACGUUACUAACGACGAUAUGCUUUGGGGAGCUGUAAGUAAGCUUUGAUCCAGAGAUUUCCGAAUGGGGAAACCCAGCAUGAGUUAUGUCAUGUUAUCGAUAUGUGAAUACAUAGCAUAUCAGAAGGCACACCCGGAGAACUGAAACAUCUUAGUACCCGGAGGAAGAGAAAGAAAAUUCGAUUCCCUUAGUAGCGGCGAGCGAAACGGGAAGAGCCCAAACCAACAAGCUUGCUUGUUGGGGUUGUAGGACACUCUAUACGGAGUUACAAAGGACGACAUUAGACGAAUCAUCUGGAAAGAUGAAUCAAAGAAGGUAAUAAUCCUGUAGUCGAAAAUGUUGUCUCUCUUGAGUGGAUCCUGAGUACGACGGAGCACGUGAAAUUCCGUCGGAAUCUGGGAGGACCAUCUCCUAAGGCUAAAUACUCUCUAGUGACCGAUAGUGAACCAGUACCGUGAGGGAAAGGUGAAAAGCACCCCGGAAGGGGAGUGAAAUAGAACCUGAAACCGUGUGCUUACAAGUAGUCAGAGCCCGUUAAUGGGUGAUGGCGUGCCUUUUGUAGAAUGAACCGGCGAGUUACGAUUUGAUGCAAGGUUAAGCAGUAAAUGUGGAGCCGUAGCGAAAGCGAGUCUGAAUAGGGCGUUUAGUAUUUGGUCGUAGACCCGAAACCAGGUGAUCUACCCUUGGUCAGGUUGAAGUUCAGGUAACACUGAAUGGAGGACCGAACCGACUUACGUUGAAAAGUGAGCGGAUGAACUGAGGGUAGCGGAGAAAUUCCAAUCGAACCUGGAGAUAGCUGGUUCUCUCCGAAAUAGCUUUAGGGCUAGCCUCAAGUGAUGAUUAUUGGAGGUAGAGCACUGUUUGGACGAGGGGCCCCUCUCGGGUUACCGAAUUCAGACAAACUCCGAAUGCCAAUUAAUUUAACUUGGGAGUCAGAACAUGGGUGAUAAGGUCCGUGUUCGAAAGGGAAACAGCCCAGACCACCAGCUAAGGUCCCAAAAUAUAUGUUAAGUGGAAAAGGAUGUGGCGUUGCCCAGACAACUAGGAUGUUGGCUUAGAAGCAGCCAUCAUUUAAAGAGUGCGUAAUAGCUCACUAGUCGAGUGACACUGCGCCGAAAAUGUACCGGGGCUAAACAUAUUACCGAAGCUGUGGAUUGUCCUUUGGACAAUGGUAGGAGAGCGUUCUAAGGGCGUUGAAGCAUGAUCGUAAGGACAUGUGGAGCGCUUAGAAGUGAGAAUGCCGGUGUGAGUAGCGAAAGACGGGUGAGAAUCCCGUCCACCGAUUGACUAAGGUUUCCAGAGGAAGGCUCGUCCGCUCUGGGUUAGUCGGGUCCUAAGCUGAGGCCGACAGGCGUAGGCGAUGGAUAACAGGUUGAUAUUCCUGUACCACCUAUAAUCGUUUUAAUCGAUGGGGGGACGCAGUAGGAUAGGCGAAGCGUGCGAUUGGAUUGCACGUCUAAGCAGUAAGGCUGAGUAUUAGGCAAAUCCGGUACUCGUUAAGGCUGAGCUGUGAUGGGGAGAAGACAUUGUGUCUUCGAGUCGUUGAUUUCACACUGCCGAGAAAAGCCUCUAGAUAGAAAAUAGGUGCCCGUACCGCAAACCGACACAGGUAGUCAAGAUGAGAAUUCUAAGGUGAGCGAGCGAACUCUCGUUAAGGAACUCGGCAAAAUGACCCCGUAACUUCGGGAGAAGGGGUGCUCUUUAGGGUUAACGCCCAGAAGAGCCGCAGUGAAUAGGCCCAAGCGACUGUUUAUCAAAAACACAGGUCUCUGCUAAACCGUAAGGUGAUGUAUAGGGGCUGACGCCUGCCCGGUGCUGGAAGGUUAAGAGGAGUGGUUAGCUUCUGCGAAGCUACGAAUCGAAGCCCCAGUAAACGGCGGCCGUAACUAUAACGGUCCUAAGGUAGCGAAAUUCCUUGUCGGGUAAGUUCCGACCCGCACGAAAGGCGUAACGAUUUGGGCACUGUCUCAACGAGAGACUCGGUGAAAUCAUAGUACCUGUGAAGAUGCAGGUUACCCGCGACAGGACGGAAAGACCCCGUGGAGCUUUACUGUAGCCUGAUAUUGAAAUUCGGCACAGCUUGUACAGGAUAGGUAGGAGCCUUUGAAACGUGAGCGCUAGCUUACGUGGAGGCGCUGGUGGGAUACUACCCUAGCUGUGUUGGCUUUCUAACCCGCACCACUUAUCGUGGUGGGAGACAGUGUCAAGCGGGCAGUUUGACUGGGGCGGUCGCCUCCUAAAAGGUAACGGAGGCGCUCAAAGGUUCCCUCAGAAUGGUUGGAAAUCAUUCAUAGAGUGUAAAGGCAUAAGGGAGCUUGACUGCGAGACCUACAAGUCGAGCAGGGUCGAAAGACGGACUUAGUGAUCCGGUGGUUCCGCAUGGAAGGGCCAUCGCUCAACGGAUAAAAGCUACCCCGGGGAUAACAGGCUUAUCUCCCCCAAGAGUUCACAUCGACGGGGAGGUUUGGCACCUCGAUGUCGGCUCAUCGCAUCCUGGGGCUGUAGUCGGUCCCAAGGGUUGGGCUGUUCGCCCAUUAAAGCGGUACGCGAGCUGGGUUCAGAACGUCGUGAGACAGUUCGGUCCCUAUCCGUCGUGGGCGUAGGAAAUUUGAGAGGAGCUGUCCUUAGUACGAGAGGACCGGGAUGGACAUACCUCUGGUGUACCAGUUGUCGUGCCAACGGCAUAGCUGGGUAGCUAUGUGUGGACGGGAUAAGUGCUGAAAGCAUCUAAGCAUGAAGCCCCCCUCAAGAUGAGAUUUCCCAACUUCGGUUAUAAGAUCCCUCAAAGAUGAUGAGGUUAAUAGGUUCGAGGUGGAAGCAUGGUGACAUGUGGAGCUGACGAAUACUAAUCGAUCGAAGACUUAAUC